rnacentral:lncRNA from 1 species
GAAAAUUUGUGAUCAGGCUAAAGAAAGAAUUUCCAUGGCAUGUACAGAAAAAAUGGUGGAAAAAAAAUACCUGUCUAUUUAGAGGCAUUCCUUAUAGGCUCCAGGACAUGCUGGGGGGACAGGAGCCUCUGGAUGGGUGAAGAGAGAGAGAGAAAUCCUUACUUCCAGGGUUGUUUACCAGCUGAGAUCAAGGGAGUCUCCGCGCAGCCUCUAAGAUACAGCUCUCACAAUCUGUAUGCGCAGAUAUCGGAAUGUGCGUGUGGAUUUUCAUCCCUGCCACCAUCCAGGCCACUGCCCUCUGUUCAGUGUGUCCGCGUAUCACGGAUCACGCCGAGAGCUGAUGAUGCUUCAGGUGCGCUAAAACCACCACGU